rnacentral:lncRNA from 1 species
AUGGAUUCUUGAUGGAUUUUGGACAGUUUAUUAAUUUAAUUAUGUAGCCCUUUUAUCACAAGCAUGUUUCAAAUGACUUUACAGAGAAUGAACUUCACUAAAGUCUACGUAUGUGAUAACCUGUAUAAUUAAAGGAGAUGCCCCAUGCUCCAUUGCUCUCCAUGCAGGAAAUAGAACAAGCACUAUGCUUUUUGAGGGCCAAGCUGAUCACCUCAUCCCUUCCACCUCCCAAGUGCUUGUGCAGAGUGACUUGUUCAAGAUGGCAGGGAGGAUGAUAGGUCACUCUUUUCUGCAUGGUGGUCCUCCACUGACAGGUGUCAGCCCAGCAAUUCUGCACGUUUUGUUAGGGGGCCCCCGGGAGACAGCAACCGUCGUGCUGGAAGAUGUGGCAGACAUUGAUAUCCGCGAGACAAUACAGCUGCUUGAGAGGAAAACAAGCAGUGAGCUGACAGAGGAUCAGAGGGCUGCUGUUAACCAGUUGGCAUUAUCUUGGGACCUUCCUGUGUUGACACAAGCCAACCAUGUCUGGCUUUUACACAGUCUUCUACAGCAUGCGGUGUUAGGGCGAACCUCCCAACAAGUGAAACAGCUGAGGCAGGGACUGCAGGACACUGUUAUGGCCACUGUUGGAGGCCAGGCCAGAUGUGGUUCCAGUGGUUUUCCCAUGUCAGUCUAUGGCUAAAUGCAGUGCUCAGGUAUUUUAAUCCAUGUUAUUAAAGAUAUAUAUUGCUGAUUUAAAUCCUG